GGGGUUGUGGCUCAGUGGUAGAGAGCCCUUGCCUAGGAUGCAUAAGGCCCGGGUUCAAUCCCCAGCACCA
rnacentral:tRNA from 1 species